rnacentral:rRNA from 1 species
CCUACGGGGGGCUGCAGUCGAGAGGCUUCGGCAAUGGGGGAAACCCUGACCGAGCGACGCCGCGUGUGGGACGAAGGUCUUACGAUUGUAAACCACUGUCAGUGGGGAAGAAUGCCUGUAUGGACAAUACGGGAGUGACGGUACCCACGGAGGAAGCCCCGGCUAACUACGUGCCAGCAGCCGCGGUAAUACGUAGGGGGCAAGCGUUGUUCGGAUUCACUGGGCGUAAAGCGUGUGUAGGCGGUUUGGCAAGUCCGGCGUGAAAUCUCCACUGCUUAACAGGGAGACGCCGUUGGAAACUGCCAGGCUAGAGGGUGGGAGAGGAAAGUGGAAUUCCAGGUGUAGCGGUGGAAUGCGCAGAUAUCUGGAAGAACACCAGUGGCGAAGGCGGCUUUCUGGACCACUCCUGACGCUGAGACACGAAAGCCAGGGGAGCAAACGGGAUUAGAUACCCGAGUAGUC